UUAUGAGCGGCCAGUCAGCAGCCCACAUGUAACCGAACUGUCGAGUUUCGUGGCUUUUUGCCACUCCAGCUGUCAAUCAAAGCCCGGAAUGUCAAGGUAGUGAAUGAAUGAUGGUUGAUGAUGAUGAAGAGGAGCAAUCUUUCAGACCCGCUUUUUUUUUUUCUUCCAGUAAAACUCCACGAGGGGUUUCUGCUUCUUGAAUCUUUCCUCCCCCCUCCCCCCCUCUUAGCUUUGCCCCAAAAUAGCUCUAAUACGAUCCUCUCUCUUUAAAGUAUUGUUCAAAGAAAGCCAGGAGGGGGAAAAAAAUCAAGGAAAAAAAAAUGAAUAGUUUGCAAAAAAUUGGACUUCCUCCCCCCCUUCUCUGGUAGGUAUUUUGUCUCUCCCUCGCUCUCUCGCUCGCUUGCUCUCACUCGCGCCCGCUCGCUCGCGCUCCCUUUCUCUCUCUCUCUCUCUCUCUCUCUCUCUCUCUCUCUCUGUCUCUGUCUCUGUCUCUGUCUCUCUCUCUCUCUCUCUCUCUCUCUCUCUCUCUCUCUCUCUCUCUCCCGGGGAGAUGAGUGAGUGUCAGUAGGUGUUGGCAGGUUGGCUGCAGCCGGGCUUAUAGUAGAGGCUCAGUUUGGCGGCGCGGGUCGGCGGCGGGAGAGCGGAAUGACGGAACCCGGAAGUCGCGGUGGCCAUAGCCCGGCGCGCGGCGGAGACACAUCCCGGGAGCGGGGAGCUGGAGCGAGGAGGAGCGCGCGGCGCGGAGCCUCUGAUAUGCAGCGAAAGAACUCCACGGUUACAAAUACCCGCCUGGUUUGAUGCCGAGUUACUCGUCGACAGAUGAGCGCACACAGAGGACCCACGCGCACCGGCCAACACCUCAGCCCCUGCAACUAGAUGGCAGUCGGGCCACCCAGAUCACGCAGGCUUCUCCAGUCUGGAUCCAGCGUGGCUCGCACCCACCUUCUCCCUUUGUCGAGCACCUCGGCGGUGUUAAACGAGUUGACAAGUCCCACAGCCAGCCGCGGGUGGUGCUUACCGAACGGGCUUAAAACUCUACGUGGGGAGUUUGCUGGAAAGAAACGCUGGAGUCCCGGGCUGGCAAGGCCUGUGUGACUUUGAGAUUUAUUCCCAGCACCCCCACCAAACACACGCGCAGUCUGCAGAGGAGUGUCAAAGUGGGAGCAGGGACGCCCCCCUACCCCCGAAAAACCACAGGCUAGAGUGAGCUAACCCGCCUAGCUCGUGGAAGCCAGGGCUACUAAGCCGGAGCCGCACGCCUGUCCCUGUUCCUGUGAACUCAUUGGUCCUGAAGAAAAACCUCCAAUCUUCGCUUUAAGCAAAUGCCUUCUUUCCACCUACUCCUCCACACGUGGCCGGAGGACGGAUUAAACGUCUUUUUCACCAUUUCUAACCUCGGAAGAGGCACUUCCCCCUUUUUGCCCAGCUAUGGCAAGCGUAAGCUCCUCUCUCCAAGACAGCCCUGACCUGAGACAAUGCAAACUUCCUAGCUGCUUGGUAGAGGUGCCGCACUUGGGCAAGACAACUGGGUCACAGCCGAUUGCAGCCUACCGUCCUGGUCACCCCUAGCUGCGAUUGGAGGAAGAGGAAAUAACACAGAUAAGUGAUCGCACGUUUUACCUUUAAAAGCUUUUGAACUCCAUCGAAAGACACAGGUUGCAAGCAGAACUGACAGUUUUAAUUCUACCCAUUUUCACGCAGCGUGUCAGAUCAGAGGCACUCGUUUAUCUUAUGGGGUGGGGCAUCAGGAAGGCAGAUAGGGUGAAUCCGAUUGUCUCUAUCCUAAAAACCCCAAAGAAAUUAAACUCUCUCACCGAAACGCACACAUUCCAUUGCUCUGUACAAUUAGUCUAGACUAAUUGAAAUUUAUAAAUUCACAUUCCGCCUAAUCUUACGCUUUUCACACACACACACACACACACACACGCCUCACCCCCAGGAUUCUAGCAGAGUCUGGUUUAAAAAUAAAUAAAUAAAUAAAAUAAAAGACAGGACACUCCUGCACUAGCUGUUAAGUACGUGCUGUUGGUUUUUGGAAACCUGAAUCACUUUUCAUGAUUCUUUUCAUGUAUUUGAGUAGGUCUUGUCUGGACAUUCCGGGAAGCGACACACGGAUUGGCUCGGUGCCGUCAACCCCAGCAUUUAAAAAUGUUAGGUGUGUGUGGGUGUUUAUGGGGGGGGGCACCCAAGGAUUUCCAUGCGCAUUCCUGCCUCACACAAAUAAAUAAAUAAAUAAAUAAAUAAAUAAAGUGCAAGGCAAAAGAAAGUUUGCUGCUUGCCUCUGUGGGUCGAAGCGCGGCGGAGGGUCCGAACAUCUUGGGAGUCCAGGUUUGUGCGUCACCUCCUCCCACCCCACUCUCAACGGCAAGGGUGUGGAGGGAUCGCCCCCACCCCCACCCCCGAGAGCUGUGUUUACUCAGUUGCUUUUUUUUUUUUAAUCUCUCGUCUAUGUAUGACAAGUGUUACUUGAAGAAAUUCAUCGGCCUUCUCCAGCUACCUCCAGGUUUGCCGUAAUGAUCUGCAGAAGAGAACUGCCAUCGCUUUCUCACAUCGGAAGGUGUCGGAAGGUGUUGGCGGAACUCGGAGCAAGGGGAGAGCGGCGGCGACGCUUAAUUGCCGUGGGGAGGGCGGGGUGCCUCCCGGGACCCCUGGCGGGGGUUGGGGAGGUGAGGGGCAGCCCAGGAGGGGUCUUUCUGGAUGCUGGAGUCGCCGAUCGGAGAAUAUUUGGACAAGGUAUGAUGGCCUCACCCCCCCCAUGCCUUUAGGGAGAAGUGAUACCCUUGUGUAACAAUUAGCCCAGACAAUAAAAAUAAUUGGAAAAUCA